rnacentral:rRNA from 1 species
UGGCGGCGUGGGAUAGACAUGCAAGUCGAACGGAAAGUAUUCAAGCUUGCUUUAAUGCUUUUAGUGGCGAACGGGUGAGUAACACGUGAGUUACCUGCCCCAAAGUGUGGGACAGCCCGAGGAAACUCGGAUUAAUACCGCAUGUGCUCGCAAGAGUAAAGGUGGCGAAAGCUGCCGCUUUGGGAUGGGCUCGCGGCCUAUCAGCUUGUUGGUGAGGUAAUGGCUCACCAAGGCUAUGACGGGUAGCUGGUCUGAGAGGACGACCAGCCACACUGGAACUGAGACACGGUCCAGACACCUACGGGUGGCAGCAGUCGAGAAUCAUUCACAAUGGGCGAAAGCCUGAUGGUGCGACGCCGCGUGGAGGACGAAGGCCCUAGGGUCGUAAACUCCUGUCAUCAGGGAGUAAGGGGCUUUAUAGUAACUGAUAAAGCUAUUGAUAGUACCUGAAGAGGAAGGGACGGCUAACUUCGUGCCAGCAGCCGCGGUAAUACGAAGGUCCCGAGCGUUGUUCGGAUUUACUGGGCGUAAAGAGUCUGUAGGCGGUAAAGUAAGUCAGGUGUGAAAUCCCGGGGCUCAACCCUGGAACUGCAUUUGAUACUGCUUUGCUAGAGUAUUGGAGGGGAAUCUGGAAUUCUCGGUGUAGCAGUGAAAUGCGUAGAUAUCGAGAGGAACACUAGUGGCGAAGGCGAGAUUCUGGACAAUUACUGACGCUGAGAGACGAAGGCCAGGGGAGCAAAAAGGAUUAGAUACCCUUGUAGUCCUGGCAGUAAACGGUGCACGCUUGGUGUGGGAGGAAUCGACCCCUUCUGUGCCGGAGCUAACGCGUUAAGUGUGCCGCCUGGGGAGUACGGUCGCAAGAUUA